UACGGAGGGUGCAAGCGUUAAUCGGAAUUACUGGGCGUAAAGCGUGCGCAGGCGGUUUGUUAAGUCUGUUGUGAAAUCCCCGAGCUCAACUUGGGAAUUGCAAUGGAUACUGGCAGGCUGGAGUAUGGUAGAGGAAGGUGGAAUUCCCGGUGUAGCAGUGAAAUGCGUAGAGAUCGGGAGGAACACCAGUGGCGAAGGCGGGAUCCUGGGCCAGUACUGACGCUGAGGAGCGAAAGCGUGGGGAGCAAACAGG
rnacentral:rRNA from 1 species